ensembl:miRNA
AGGGGAAGCAGGGCCCUGGAGGAAUGAUAGAUGGUGUCUCACACCAGGACUUGUCUCCCCAGA